AGUGAACGCUGGCGGUAGGCCUAACACAUGCAAGUCGAACGGCAGCACAGUAAGAGCUUGCUCUUACGGGUGGCGAGUGGUGGACGGGUGAGGAAUACAUCGGAAUCUACUUUUUCGUGGGGGAUAACGUAGGGAAACUUACGCUAAUACCGCAUACGACCUACGGGUGAAAGCAGGGGAUCUUCGGACCUUGCGCGAUUGAAUGAGCCGAUGUCGGAUUAGCUAGUUGGCGGGGUAAAGGCCCACCAAGGCGACGAUCCGUAGCUGGUCUGAGAGGAUGAUCAGCCACACUGGAACUGAGAUACGGUCCAGACUCCUACGGGAGGCAGCAGUGGGGGAUAUUGGACAAUGGGCGCAAGCCUGAUCCAGCCAUACCGCGUGGGUGAAGAAGGCCUUCGGGUUGUAAAGCCCUUUUGUUGGGAAAGAAAAGCAGCAGGUUAAUACCCCGCUGUUCUGACGGUACCCAAAGAAUAAGCACCGGCUAACUUCGUG
rnacentral:rRNA from 1 species